rnacentral:rRNA from 1 species
AACGCGAAGAACCUUACCUAGACUUGACAUCUCCUGAAUAGCCGGUAACUCGGCGAAGCCUUUCGGGGCAGGAAGACAGGUGGUGCAUGGUUGUCGUCAGCUCGUGUCGUGAGAUGUUGGGUUAAGUCCCGCAACGAGCGCAACCCUUAUCAUUAGUUGCUACCAUUAAGUUGAGCACUCUAAUGAGACUGCCGUGGUUAACGCGGAGGAAGGUGGGGAUGACGUCAAAUCAUCAUGCCCCUUAUGUCUAGGGCUACACACGUGCUACAAUGGUGAGUACAAAGAGACGCAAUAUCGUGAGGUGGAGCAAAACUCAAAAACUCAUCCCAGUUCGGAUUGUAGGCUGAAACUCGCCUACAUGAAGCCGGAGUUGCUAGUAAUCGCGAAUCAGCAUGUCGCGGUGAAUACGUUCCCGGGCCUUGUACACACCGCGUGUCU